rnacentral:rRNA from 1 species
CAGCCUACCAUGCAAGUCGAACGGAAACAUGUCUAGCUUGCUAGAUGAUGUCGAGUGGCGGACGGGUGAGUAAUGCUUGGGAACUUGCCUUUGCGAGGGGGAUAACAGUUGGAAACGACUGCUAAUACCGCAUAAUGUCUACGGACCAAACAGGGCUUCGGCUCUGGCGCAAAGAGAGGCCCAAGUGAGAUUAGCUAGUUGGUGAGGUAAAGGCUCACCAAGGCAACGAUCUCUAGCUGUUCUGAGAGGAAGAUCAGCCACACUGGGACUGAGACACGGCCCANACUCCUACGGGAGGCAGCAGUGGGGAAUAUUGCACAAUGGGGGAAACCCUGAUGCANCCAUGCCGCGUGUGUGAAGAAGGCCUUCNGGUUGUAAAGCACUUUCAGUUGUGAGGAAAANUUAGUAGUUAAUACCUGCUAGCCGUGACGUUAACAANUCAAGAAGCACCGGCUAACUCCGUGCCAGCNUCCGCGGUAAUACGNAGGGUGCGAGC